UACUGCUAUCAGUGUUCGAUUAAGCCAUGCGAGUUAAAUGUUCUUCGUGAACAUGGCGUACUGCUCAGUAACACGUGGAUAACCUGCCCUAAGGUCCGGCAUAACCCCGGGAAACUGGGGAUAAUACCGGAUAAACCAUAGAUACUGGAAUGUUCUGUGGUUAAAAGUUCCGGCGCCUUAGGAUGGAUCUGCGGCCUAUCAGGUAGUAGUGGGUGUAAAGUACCUACUAGCCGACGACGGGUACGGGUUGUGAGAGCAAGAGCCCGGAGAUGGAUUCUGAGACAUGAAUCCAGGCCCUACGGGGCGCAGCAGGCGCGAAAUCUUUACAAUGCGGGAAACCGCGAUAAGGGGACACCGAGUGCCAGCAUACAAUGCUGGCUGUCCACAUGUGUAAAUAGCAUGUGAUAGCAAGGGCCGGGCAAGACCGGUGCCAGCCGCCGCGGUAACACCGGCGGCCCGAGUGGUAAUCACUAUUAUUGGGUCUAAAGGGUCCGUAGCCGGUUUGAUCAGUCUUCCGGGAAAUCUGACAGCUCAACUGUUAGGC
rnacentral:rRNA from 1 species